rnacentral:lncRNA from 1 species
CAGGAGCCUUGAGAGGUGGAGGGGACCACAGUGGGAUUUUUCAGGCCCUGAUCCCCUCCCUGCUGGCUGUCUGCAUCCCACCAUCUAAGGUGACAUUUCCUGCCAAGCUGCCUCCUCCCUAUGGUCACAUGGUCCUGUGGCCACCCCCCAACCCUUGCCCUACCUGUUCAGGCUUAGCAUGGUAAUGGCUCUCUUCUGUUUCUGACCUCAGGGUACUACACUAUUGUCAUGGAAGUUCCUUGCAUCUCAUCACCCCUUGGUAAAGAGGCUGUUUACUAAACUCUCUUCCAUCAUCUGGCUCAGUGUACCAUCUGUGUUUUCCCAGAACCUCAAGUGAUGCAGUGAAUAAGCAAACAAGAUUGUCAGUGAACCAUCUUUGUAGGCAAAACUAUGGAAACAUAUUCACAUCCUCCUAAGAGGAUGACAGAUGGUAACCAUGUGAGACUUGACUCUCUUAUCCUCACUUCCUUCUUGUUUGCUACUCCUCUAGAACAGGAAUGAGGUCAGAUAUUUUGCAGAGCUGCAUAUUUGGCCCAGGAGAUCAUCAAGUAGCAACUCCCAACACCGUGAAGCUAGGAUUCCCCACCAAGGGAGGAAGGAAUGACAAACAGCACUAGCUGCAACCAGUCAUACCUAGUUGGUGCCUUCAAGGACCUCACCUCAGGAGUUCUCACUGUAGCACAACAGGAUCAGUGGAGAGCCCUGGGAUGCGGGUUUGAUCUCCAGCCUGUACAGUGGGUUAAGGAUCGGCAUUGCCACAGCACUUAAGUUGCAGCUACUGGUCAGAUGUGAUCCCUGACCCAUGGGGCAGCCAAAAAAGUUUUUUUUAAAAAAAAAAAAGGACCUUGGCUCAGUACCAGUCCUGUCAAUCUUCAAGGUCUUACCAUCUCCAGGGAGGGAGGCCUCUGACCACAGCUCUACCUCACAAAAAGGCCAACAGCCCCUGAGCCUACUUAUCUGCUGGCUCUGACAGAUGGAUCCCAGAACUCACCAGACCAAAUGAUUUUAUUUCCCUCAACACAUCCAUGUGCAUGAAGGCAGUCAAUGAAUUAAUUGUAUUAGGAAACCUACUAAGCCGAGGACAAUUGCUUCAAAAGAAGAACCAAAAAGGUGCUGAAAGACAGAAGGCAAACGAACCUCAGAGGCAUCUUUAGAAAUGGACAAUUAUGAUCCAUUAAGCCUAGUUAAGGGACUGAAAUUUAUGAGGAGGAAACAUCUGGAACUGCCUGGAAUGCAAAGGAACCAGAAGGAACCACUGUUUGGGCUUGUAGAGAGCAGCCCAGACAAAUGGGAUUCUGUGUUAGGAGAGAAUUGCAAAAUCAGAACAUGAAAAGGACAGAAUGGAGGCAACGCAUCUGGGGUUAAGUGAAGCAUUUUAAUACAGUGGCUCCUGGAUUUGCUCUUGAAAUAUUAAUUGAAAUUGGGAUGAAUAUGAGGGCUGUCACAUGAAUAGAAAACUGGCAGGAAGAUCAUAAAUACUGGCUAAGCUGAGCCAAGUCAACAGAACACAGCAAUGCAACAGAAAGUAAUGAAGACACUGCUGAAUUCAUAGCCAUGAACCCUGCAGAUGCUUAAUAAAUAUUAAUUGAUAAUAAUGAACUAUAGUACAGGGUGGUAAAUUAGUGCGAGACAGUUAAGCUGCUGAAAAACAGCUAAUAUAUAUAUGGUUGGUAUAACAUACAAUGAUGAAUGAACAAGGAGAAAGGAAAAUAAAACUGAUUUAUUGGUGAGGUGCAUUUUGCCUGGCAACAGGACAUAUGGGAAAGAGAAUAUUAAUAGAAGGGUGGGGAGGGGUGGCUUGAGGGGAUGAGAGGAAAGUUGAGACAAUAAUUCAGGAUCACAAUAGAGCUUUCCUAGCGUCUUGGCAAUUCCUUAAGUAUAAGCCAGGCACCUUGGAGUCAUAUCCUGUUCCUUUAAAACACUGUGGCAUUCUCAAUAAAUUUUUGCUCCCAGGAACCCAGAGACACCAUAGAUUAAUCUGGACCAAUUUCCCAGAAGGGGAUAUGAAAGCUCUCCUCCUAGGGAAGCCAGCUCUGAUCCACACAGCCAGAGUACAACAUUUUCUUUUUAAAUCUCAUCACUCUUGUUGCUUGUGUCACUGCUUAUCUCCUAGAAUUACUAUGAUUUUUGUAUAUGUGAUUAUAUUUUUUAAGCUUUGUAAAGUAGAAAUAAUGCCUUGCAUUUUCCAGCACUCACCUCACUAGGUGCUUCAAAGCUGGGAGGUGCUCAGUUCCUGUGCUGAUCAAUUAGUAAUUCUAGAAAGCAAAGUAAGCCCCUAUCAGAGAGGACACUCAGCUACCUUUUGGGUUUGAGGACCUGCUUCUAAGGAGAUCAAUGAAAGCUCUACCUCUUGUUAUGGACAAAGCACUAGAGAGUCUGCCACAGGAAUGAUCUUAGGCUGCUGGAGGAUGAGGCAGAAAACUCAGUUGCUAUGGAAACUUGUAUGAUCUGAUGACUCCCAUUGUUCAAAGAUAGUCAGACACCAGGAGAAUGACAAGCAGAUCUCUAAGCCUCAAGCAAACACAGGACAUGCCGAGGAAACAUCUCAAUUUAUUUGUACUUAUUUCUGCUGUAAAGGUAGCAUCAUUUCAUCAUCUAUCAUAACACAACAUUUGCAAAGGCCUUUCAAAAUAUUUCCAGUUGCUAUUUUGAUUUAGUGAUCUCAGAGAUGCUUCCUAUGCACAGAGCUACCUUCAAGACAGGCAGACAGCACUGACAGCAGCCACUGAGCAUAGAUGAUGGAGGCAGAUGCUGCUGAGACUCUGCUCUGUGACCUGGACAAGUGAAACCAUCUGUGUGAAGGUGCCAUAUGGGCUGGACUUGCUAAACUAAUGGCAGAUGAAGCUACCAAACCAUUCCUGAGUCAUAUACCUUUGAGGAUCUGAUUACACCUGUGGACUUGCUCACCGGAAAAGUAUACGUAUACAUAUACAUAUACUUAUACAUAUACAUAUACAAUCUAAUGCAAUAUAUUUCAGAGAAUAUAAACCUCUGCUAUCUUUUCAUAAAUUUGCCCUACCUGGGGAUUCAAGAGGUCCAGAUAUCAUGUUAAGAAUCUCUGACAUAUAAUAAAAAUACUUUACAGACAUAUUAGACUCAAUCUUGGACAAAACAGAAAAACACUGGCAUCAUUUACCCACUCAACCUUCCUAACCAGUGCCCAGUGCCUUCUCAGGUAGUUCCAUCUUCCCUCAUAUAUCCAGCAUCUCCUGCCAGUGGGGACUUGCCUGUGAACAGCUAUCCACUUGGUACACUCACUCACUAGUUCAUUCAUUUCACGGAGUGUAUUCUAUGUGUCAGACUUUAGGGAUGCGAAUAUGAGCAUGACAAGGCUCAUGUCCUCAAGGAGCUUACAGUUCAGCUUAGUCAGGAAACAUUCAGCCACGUCUGGGUACAGGUUUGGUCAUCAUAGCUGAAGGAGAAAUACUAUUGGCAUCCAGUAGGUGGAGGCUGGGGAUGCUGCUAAACAUCCUACAAUGCACAGGACAGCCUUCACAACAAAGACAUACAAGGUCCAAAAUGUCAGUAGUUUUUCAGCUUAGGAUCUAGAGGCAUUUUAAUAAGAACUCUAGAAGAUACAAUUGCACUGGCAGUCUGGCCUGAUUUUCAAUAAUCAGAAAGGAAAGAAAGGGAGAGAAGACUCACUCGGGGGCACCAUCACCAAUGUGAAAGCAGACCCUCUUUUGGGCGACAUCAGAGAAAGGAUCGCCAGUUGCAAGGGGUGAGCAAACAAAUGACUUAUUUUGGGAAUCUCCUUAUGGGAAAUGAUGCUAGCUCCCUACCCACCUCCAUCAGCCAGUAGCCCCGUCAAAAUAAGCUACAGCAUGGGUAGGAUCAUUACUCAAAAGACAAACCCUUUUGCAUCCUGUGGGACAGCUAUAUUUUGGACAAGCCCUUUCCCUCACCAGUUCUUCUCUACUCUACUCUCAUUCUUAUCAAUAAUUCUACCUUGUACACACUCACACCACAAUCAGUUCUCAUAUGGCUAAAAAUAUUAAAUUACAGAAAAUAUUAUAUAUGUAUAUAUCACAUUAUAUAUAAAACAUAUAACAUAACAUAUAUUUUUAUUUGAGAUAUAUAUACACACACAUACACACACAUACACACACACACACACACACACACACACACACACAUUACAAAUUUUAACCUCUAUAGAAAUUGGUUCUAAGACUGGUUAAUCUGAAAAAGCAUGAGACCAGAAAUUAGACCAAGUUUCAACAUGUGCAUUUUUUAUUCCUUACAACCCCCACCACCACCACCACCUCUGCCCCUUUAACAAUUCUUUUGCUGAAACCAGGCCAGGCCUCUGCCAUCAGGUGGCAGAGAUAUGGCAGAUGUGCUAAAGUGCAUGUAAACCUCUAGCCCUGUUCAGGCUGGGAUUGAUAAAGGUUGGGAAGCAUCAUGCAAGGAGCUCCCAUCACUGGCAGGAAAAAAAAAAAAAAAAGGUUUUCUGAUUUUAAGCUGUAUAGCACAGAUAGUCUACAGGUAGCCAGACCUGAGUUGAAAUCCCAACUCUGUCACUCACUCUAUUUCCCUUUGCAGUCCUAUAGCCUUGGGGAAGCUGAUGAGCUCAUUAAACUUCAGAUUUCUCAUUUGUAAAUUAGGAAUAAUUAGAGUUCCUACCUUAAAGGGUCAUCAUGGGUAUUAAAUGACAGUUUCCAUCUAAAGCAUUGAGCAGAGCGUCUGGCACAUAGUAAGCCUCGGUAAAUUGCUACUACAAUUACUAAGGGAAGGAAACCAUCCUGGUUGAGACUCGAUACAUGAUUCUCGGCCUGAACAAGCCGAGACAGCUGCUCAGGUGGCUCCCACAUUGCUACUACUGACACACUCUAGGCCCACCAUUGCACAUAGUCUACAUCUGCUCCUCUGUCCUGUCCUCCAUUCAGACUCUGUUCUCAAAGACAGCAUUGCUCAAAUCUUUAACUUCCCAGCACCGUUCCUAUUGGCGUUUGAUAUCUUUCUGUUUGUCUGCAGCUCCUUGACAACCUCAGCAACCCAUCUGACCAAGCCUCCCCUGUCUUCCCCCCAAAUCUAUCCAUAGUCCCCAUAGUCUGUGCUGCUGGAGGGCAGCUGGACAAAGCAUUUCUCCAGCAUUCUCUUGAGCUGCCAUGAUGGGCUCAGGUAGGCUGGUGGGAAGAAACAGUGGUUAAAUAUCCAUAUAAGAACCUGACACUUCUCAGACCCUACCAUUGCCCACUUUCAAGGGGAACAGUCAAAGAUUCAGUAUUCUGCCUUAGAAAGGUUACUGACCCAGAUCAAAAGCUGGUCAGUUCUCCACUGUUGCUUUUUCCUUAAAAAAUGCCUUGGCUGGAUCCUCAGAUAUCAACCCCACCUUCCAACACCUGGCUCUACUGCAAGGUGUAUUCUUCUCAAGAAAUCUACGAGUUGGUUAAGAGAGCUGUUCUUAUAGGGGGAAUGAAUUCAGCGAUUGGGGAAUAAAAAAUUCCCUCUCCUUCCUCGACCCUCUUCCCCUUGAUGUUCACUUGGGAAAUCUCAAACCAUCUUGACACCAAGGAACAAAGAUCAGACUUUCCAGAGGGCAACUUAGCCUUUACCCAGAGGCACGGAGUGAACCAUACUUUACCCGUGCUUCCAUUAGUAGAAGGGUCAAGAGUAGCUGGGAUUGGAGUAGCUAGAAACCUUCUUAAACACCCUGGUAGUUUCUGCACAGCACUCCCCUGGUGAGAGUUAGUCUAACUCUAACACCAAGAAAGUAGAGAAAGCUACAGAAAUGCCUGAAGUAUUACAAGAGGCAGAUUUUCUUCCUGAGCAUUCAUAAUUUAAUGGCUACACUAAGCAACACUAAGCCCCUAUUUUGUGUUUAGAAAACAUCUCAGCAAGUUUGAAGCUAAAACAUUCUCCUUUGCUCAACUUCUUGCCCCUUGAGUACCCGAAUCUUUGCAUAACAGCCUCAAACCCCCCUCUCUGCCUGCCUCAGUGUCCUGAGAGUAAACACAAGUCACUAC